rnacentral:rRNA from 1 species
AACACGUGAGUAACCUGCCCUUGACUCUGGGAUAAGCCUGGGAAACUGGGUCUAAUACCGGAUAUGACCUUUCACCGCAUGGUGGGGGGUGGAAAGCUUUUGUGGUUUUGGAUGGACUCGCGGCCUAUCAGCUUGUUGGUGGGGUAAUGGCCUACCAAGGCGAUGACGGGUAGCCGGCCUGAGAGGGUGACCGGCCACACUGGGACUGAGACACGGCCCAGACUCCUACGGGAGGCAGCAGUGGGGAAUAUUGCACAAUGGGCGGAAGCCUGAUGCAGCGACGCCGCGUGAGGGAUGACGGCCUUCGGGUUGUAAACCUCUUUCAGUAGGGAAGAAGCGUAAGUGACGGUACCUGCAGAAGAAGCGCCGGCUAACUACGUGCCAGCAGCCGCGGUAAUACGUAGGGCGCAAGCGUUAUCCGGAAUUAUUGGGCGUAAAGAGCUCGUAGGCGGUUUGUCGCGUCUGCUGUGAAAGACCGGGGCUCAACUCCGGUUCUGCAGUGGGUACGGGCAGACUAGAGUGAUGUAGGGGAGACUGGAAUUCCUGGUGUAGCGGUGAAAUGCGCAGAUAUCAGGAGGAACACCGAUGGCGAAGGCAGGUCUCUGGGCAUUAACUGACGCUGAGGAGCGAAAGCAUGGGGAGCGAACAGGAUUAGAUACCCUGGUAGUCCAUGCCGUAAACGUUGGGCACUAGGUGUGGGGGACAUUCCACGUUUUCCGCGCCGUAGCUAACGCAUUAAGUGCCCCGCCUGGGGAGUACGGCCGCAAGGCUAAAACUCAAAGGAAUUGACGGGGGCCCGCACAAGCGGCGGAGCAUGCGGAUUAAUUCGAUGCAACGCGAAGAACCUUACCAAGGCUUGACAUGGACCGGACCGGGCUGGAAACAGUCCUUCCCUUCGGGGCUGGUUCACAGGUGGUGCAUGGUUGUCGUCAGCUCGUGUCGUGAGAUGUUGGGUUAAGUCCCGCAACGAGCGCAACCCUCGUUCCAUGUUGCCAGCGGGUUAUGCCGGGGACUCAUGGGAGACUGCCGGGGUCAACUCGGAGGAAGGUGGGGACGACGUCAAAUCAUCAUGCCCCUUAUGUCUUGGGCUUCACGCAUGCUACAAUGGCCGGUACAAUGGGUUGCGAUACUGUGAGGUGGAGCUAAUCCCAAAAAGCCGGUCUCAGUUCGGAUUGGGGUCUGCAACUCGACCCCAUGAAGUCGGAGUCGCUAGUAAUCGCAGAUCAGCAACGCUGCGGUGAAUACGUUCCCGGGCCUUGUACACACCGCCCGUCAAGUCACGAAAGUUGGUAACACCCGAAGCCGGUGGCCUAACCCC